rnacentral:rRNA from 1 species
CGGGUGAGUAACACGUGGAUAACCUACCUAUAAGACUGGGAUAACUUCGGGAAACCGGAGCUAAUACCGGAUAAUAUAUUGAACCGCAUGGUUCAAUAGUGAAAGACGGUUUUGCUGUCACUUAUAGAUGGAUCCGCGCCGCAUUAGCUAGUUGGUAAGGUAACGGCUUACCAAGGCAACGAUGCGUAGCCGACCUGAGAGGGUGAUCGGCCACACUGGAACUGAGACACGGUCCAGACUCCUACGGGAGGCAGCAGUC